rnacentral:rRNA from 1 species
AGAAACGGCUACCACAUCCAAGGAAGGCAGCAGGCGCGCAAAUUACCCAAUCCCGACACGGGGAGGUAGUGACAAUAAAUACUGAUACGGGGCUCUUUUGGGUCUCGUAAUUGGAAUGAGUACAAUCUAAAUCCCUUAACGAGGAACAAUUGGAGGGCAAGUCUGGUGCCAGCAGCCGCGGUAAUUCCAGCUCCAAUAGCGUAUAUUAAAGUUGUUGCAGUUAAAAAGCUCGUAGUUGAACCUUGGGUCUGGCUGGCCGGUCCGCCUCACCGCGAGUACUGGUCCGGCUGGACCUUUCCUUCUGGGGAAUCUCAUGGCCUUCACUGGCUGUGGGGGGAACCAGGACUUUUACUGUGAAAAAAUUAGAGUGUUCAAAGCAGGCCUUUGCUCGAAUACAUUAGCAUGGAAUAAUAGAAUAGGACGUGCGGUUCUAUUUUGUUGGUUUCUAGGACCGCCGUAAUGAUUAAUAGGGAUAGUCGGGGGCGUCAGUAUUCAGCUGUCAGAGGUGAAAUUCUUGGAUUUGCUGAAGACU